rnacentral:rRNA from 1 species
CCUACGGGGGGCUGCAGUGGGGAAUAUUGGACAAUGGGGGCAACCCUGAUCCAGCCAUGCCGCGUGUGUGAAGAAGGCCCUCGGGUUGUAAAGCACUUUCAGUGAGGAAGAACGCCUGGUGGUUAAUACCCAUCAGGAAAGACAUCACUCACAGAAGAAGCACCGGCUAACUCCGUGCCAGCAGCCGCGGUAAUACGGAGGGUGCGAGCGUUAAUCGGAAUUACUGGGCGAAAAGCGCGCGUAGGUGGCUUGAUAAGCCGGUUGUGAAAGCCCCGGGCUCAACCUGGGAACGGCAUCCGGAACUGUCAAGCUAGAGUGCAGGAGAGGAAGGUAGAAUUCCCGGUGUAGCGGUGAAAUGCGUAGAGAUCGGGAGGAAUACCAGUGGCGAAGGCGGCCUUCUGGACUGACACUGACACUGAGGUGCGAAAGCGUGGGUAGCAAACAGGAUUAGAUACCCUGGUAGUC